rnacentral:rRNA from 1 species
AUUGAACGCUGGCGGCAGGCCUAACACUGGCAAUUCUACCGAGUGGCGGACGGGUGAGUAAUGUCUGGGAAACUGCCCGAUGGGGGGGGUUAACUACUGGAACCAGUAGCUAAUACCGCAUACAAUCGGAUGUGCCCAACUGGGAUUAGCUAGUAGGUGGGGUAAUGGCUCACCUAGGCGACGAUCCCUAGCUGGUCUGAGAGGAUGACCAGCCACACUGGAACUGAGACACGGUCCAGACUCCUACGGGAGGCAGCAGUGGGGAAUAUUGCACAAUGGGCGCAAGCCUGAUGCAGCCAUGCCGCGUGUAUGAAGAAGGCCUUCGGGUUGUAAAGUACUUUCAGCGAGGAGGCGUUACUCGCAGAAGAAGCACCGGCUAACUCCGUGCCAGCCGCCGCGGUAAUUC